UCACCCCCAAGCUCUGCUUGGUGUUGGGCGCCUGUCCCGCCUCAGUGUGCGGACUCGCCCUAAAGCUAUUGGCAGCGGUCGUGCCAGCUUCUAGCGCAGCACAUUUGCGCUUCUUGAAGCUAUGGUGGAUCAGCAUCCAGCAAGCCCUCUAUA
rnacentral:misc_RNA from 1 species